rnacentral:rRNA from 1 species
GACGAACGCUGGCGGCGUGCUUAACACAUGCAAGUCGAACGGAAAGGCCCUGCUUUUGUGGGGUGCUCGAGUGGCGAACGGGUGAGUAACACGUGAGUAACCUGCCCUUGACUUUGGGAUAACUUCAGGAAACUGGGGCUAAUACCGGAUAGGAGCUCCUGCUGCAUGGUGGGGGUUGGAAAGUUUCGGCGGUUGGGGAUGGACUCGCGGCUUAUCAGCUUGUUGGUGGGGUAGUGGCUUACCAAGGCUUUGACGGGUAGCCGGCCUGAGAGGGUGACCGGGGAGAGUGGGAGGGAAAAAGGGCCAAGGGUCGGAAGGGGGACAGCGGCGGGGGAGGGUGGGGAACGGGAGUGGGGCUGAGAAAGCAGCUGCGGGUGGGGGAUGAGAGGGAGUGGGGUGAAAAGCAAAAUAAGCGCUGACUAAGCGGGAGUGAGGGUCAGGGGUAAAGAAGCAGAGGAUAAAAAAACG